GAUGAACGCUGGCGGCGUGCUUAACACAUGCAAGUCGAACGGAAAGGCUCCUGCUUGCAGGGGUACUCGAGUGGCGAACGGGUGAGUAACACGUGGGUGAUCUGCCCUGCACUUCGGGAUAAGCCUGGGAAACUGGGUCUAAUACCGGAUAGGACGAUGGUUUGGAUGCCAUUGUGGAAAGUUUUUUCGGUGUGGGAUGAGCUCGCGGCCUAUCAGCUUGUUGGUGGGGUAAUGGCCUACCAAGGCGUCGACGGGUAGCCGGCCUGAGAGGGUGUACGGCCACAUUGGGACUGAGAUACGGCCCAGACUCCUACGGGAGGCAGCAGUGGGGAAUAUUGCAUAAUGGGCGCAAGCCUGAUGCAGCGACGCCGCGUGGGGGAUGACGGCCUUCGGGUUGUAAACUCCUUUCGCUAGGGACGAAGCGCAAGUGACGGUACCUGGAGAAGAAGCACCGGCUAACUACGUG
rnacentral:rRNA from 1 species